AUUGAACGCUGGCGGCAUGCUUUACACAUGCAAGUCGAACGAGUGGCGAACGGGUGAGUAAUGUCUCGGAACGUCCCGGGUAAUGGGGGAUAACUACUCGAAAGAUUAGCUAAUACCGCAUAUUAUUCGAGCUGCCUAUAUCUGAUUAGCUAGUGGGUGGGGUAAUGGCCGACCAAGGCGACGAUCCGUAGCGGGUCUGAGAGGAUGAUGAGCCACACUGGGACUGAGACACGGCCGAGACUCCGACGGGAGGAAGCAGUGGGGAAUUUUGGACAAUGGGGGCAAGCCUGAUACAGCCAUGCCGCGUGUCUGAAGAAGGCCUUCGGGUUGUAAAGGAAUGUUGUCAGGGAGGCGGUACCUGAAGAAGAAGCACCGGCUAACUACGUGCCAGCAGCCGCGGUAAUAC
rnacentral:rRNA from 1 species